CUUGGAACAGUAUUCAAUUUGUUUAAUUCCCACAAAUAAGCCUCUCUUUUACCUUCUAAAGAUACCGACAUUUGGAUGCAUAGUUAAAAAAUUUCAUGGACUUUUCAUUAUGUGGUUUUAGUCUAAAUGAACUACGGAAUUCUGUAACUACAAAAAAAUUCCACAGCUUCAUUUUUAAACUGCUUGGAUACGUAUGAUACAAUUCCACAACGUUUAUAAUAAUUAAAGUUCUAAAAUUCAAAAUUUAAAAUUCAAAAUUCAAAAUUUAAAAUUUAAAAAUAAAACUUUCAAAAAUUAAAAUUAAAAAUUCAAAAAUCAAAAUUUAAAAAUGGCCUUUUAAAUUUUAAAUUUUAAAUUUUAAAAUUUAUAAAACUAUAUUUAAUUUUAUGUUUUAUAUUUGAAAUUAGAAAUUAGAAAUUAGAAAUUUGAAUUUCAAAAUAUAAAAUUUGAAAUUUAACAUUCGAAUUUGAAAUUUAAAAUUAAUUUUAAAAUUUUAAAUUUUAAAUUAAAAUUUUAAAAUUAGAGGUUCUAUUUUUAAAUUUAAAUUCCAAAAUUUAAAAGUUAAAAUUUAAAAGUUGAAAUUUAAAAAUUAAAAAUUAAAAAAUAAAAUUUAAAAAUUAAAAAUUAAAAAUUGAAAAUUAAAAAAAUUAAAUAUUUAAAUAUUUUGAAUAUUGAAUUUUAAAAUUUGAAAUUAGAAGUUUAAAACUUGAAAUUUGAAAUUAGAAAUUU
rnacentral:lncRNA from 1 species